AGGCGCGGCGAGGCGGGUGGCGCGCGGCAGCAGGGUUGGGCUCUCGCCGUGAGUCGACGAAGGGAGCGCGGGCGCGCGCCCGCGUCCGCGCACUGAGAGUCGCCUCGGCCGCUCGCUUUCUCGACUCCCGCCUCGCGCCUCGAUCCUGUUCCGCCUCCCUCGGCCCUCCUGCCCGCCCCCACUCGUCGGCCCUCAGCUCAGAGACCUAAUAGGAUGGGGUCUUAGAGAAACAUCUUUUGAGCCACAGACUUCUUUGUUACCAGAAGGAAAAUGAAAGAAGAAAUUUAAAUACCACUUGAAGAGAGCUGAUCGCCACCAACUGGCCUCUGGGUGGAUUUGGCCAAUGGAAGCACCUGUAGAGGGAAGAGAGUGAGGUUAGGAUAUUUCUUCCUGCUGUCUCCGUGCUUCCCUGCAGAGAGUGUGAAGAAAUGACCCUGAAAAGCCUCUGGCAGAGGAUUCUUCUUUCAGGAUGGUGUCGCCUCCUCAGCAGCCCAUCCUCCUCCCCUGGACUCAAGCUCUCAUUCCAGUAACACUCCUUCCUCCUUCUCCAUCUUCAGGGGGAGGUUUGCCAGUCGGUGGGUUCUAAGCAUAUCUCGCUGAUUCCCCCCAACCCUGCCGACACCUCUGUAGGUCGUCCCUUCAUUAAAAUCUCUCCAUUUGAACUAUCUGAGUUUAAUUCCAUUUCCUCCUGGUAUCUCAGUGAUACACGGUAUCAGUACAAAAAUCUCGCUUCACCUUCAGAACCAACAGAUUUGAGACAUUUUAUCCUCUGUGGAACCAUUAGUUAUUUUGUCAUUGGUUGUAUCAGAAAAAAAAAUCAGGAAUGCAAAUCCUUCUUUAUUACAGAUUCAGAUUUGCAUAUUACCAAUGUUAUAUAUUUUAAACAAAACUAUUCAUCAUAAGUUUUAAAAAUUAACUACUGGAGUAGUUAAUGAAUCUGAAUGUAAUUAUGUAGCUUUCAUAAUAUUAAAGUAAAAAUACUAAAAGAAGUAUUUCUUAAAGAAGCAAAUGCUCAAUCUCCAAGUAAAUUUUAUUCUAUGCUCUUCCGGUAUAAGAAUAUGUUAAUAUCUUGAAAAAUAUCAUAUUAUUUUGUGAACUCAUAAAGCUAUUUUGAGUUUUUGUAAAAUGAAAACCUUACCAAAAUGUAUUUUAUUGUUGGAAAGCUUGACCGUUACUGCUGUUUAAUUUUUUGAGCUUGUAAACUUUAUUUGUGCAUGUUUUCAACAAAGAAGGAUUUUAUUGUUAUUACAUAAAACAGGUGAUUUCUAGAUUUUAAAAUCACAAAUUGAAAGCAAGGCACAAUAAUAUAUAUUUCAAGAUAUAGGUACUUAGGAGGCAUCCUUUUAGUCAUCUGUUCAAUGUAGCCAUCUAUUUUACACCUACUGUCUACUAUUGUUUGAGGUCCUUGCCAAAGUAUUGCAGGCUAGUUAGGAAACAUAAAACAAUUAGAAAGUAAUCUAUGACAAGUAAGCUAUCUAUAAAUGGCAAUGAAGGGUAGAACAAAUUCAAUGAAAAUAUCUAUUUAAUCCUAGUGUUUACUGGUCUAGAAGAAUAGGCUGAGUAAAUUAGUAUUUCUCUGGCUGUUGUGGUAACACAUUGCAUGCUAUAACAGUUUUAAGUAAUUACAGGUGCAUUGAAAUUUAUCUAUGGCUUUGUCAUCAUAUUCUAAAAUGUCAUGAGUACUUUUUUCUGACCUCAAUUACUAUGAAAUUGGUUUCCAAUAUUUAAUUAACCAAGAAUAUCAAGUCUAUAGGGUAUUAUUAAGGUGAGACUUCUGUAGCCUUUUCAAUAAAGACCAGAAUUUUGGAGUGCCUUGAACCUUAAUCAUUGAUCUUUAAUUCUUAUUAAGUCAACUGCCCACCUUUUAAAGACUGAGGCCCAGGAAGAGUAAGUUUCUCUGAGACAAUGCAUACAGUACAGUGCUUCUUGGGUAUUGGCUCUAAGACCAGAUGCAAAGAAAGGCUAAAAUCCCAUUUCAUUGUUCAUUAGGUGAGAACCCUUUGUUAAGCUGUGUAACCUCUGUGCAUAGUUUCCUCAUCAGCAAAGUCAGAAAAAGUAUGUACCUGAAGGACUGAUUGUAAGGCUGGGAUGAGAGAAUCCAUGUGAUCAGCCCUCACCAACAGGUGCUGCCCAGUUCAUGAGUGCUGCUGCUGUCCUGCCCAAGUACCCAGCUUGCAGAGUGCCAGAGUUAGAGUCCCAGGGGUGUUCUCCACAGCUGCAUGCUUGAUCCAGGCCUAUCAGAUAUAUUCCAUUGAAAGUCCUCAUUCUCAAAUUUAAAACAAAGACUUUUUGUGUACCUCAAUAGCAAUGCACACACAGUUGGCUUCACAAACAUAUUGUACAUUUCUUUUUUUCAUAUUUAUUCAACAAAUGUAUAUUGACUACCCACCGUGUGACAGGUGUUAUUUGUUGACGGAACCAGGCAUCAUCAGCAAACAAAACUGACAAAGCUUCCUGCCCUCUGUGGAAGGCAUCUGAGGAAGAGACUGGAUUUUGUAGCAACAUGUUAUUCUCAUUAUAAACUUUAUCAUUGGAAUACUAAAGCCAAAUCAUCCCCCAUCUCCUUGAUCAGGAUACCCACUUAAUCUAGGCAGCUACACAAUUGUGAGAGCCUUUGUUUUUUUCUGCUGAAACAUCCUUAAAAAGAUACCUCACAACCCAAGAUUUGGCUUUUCUUAAAUACGAUUUUUAAUUUUUUUCAUUUCUAUCUAGAGAUUUAAUUGGAAAUGGAAAAUCAUCAAUUUUCCAAUUAAAUGUCUGUUCCAAUCAACAUUAUACCUUUUAGGUUGUCAUUGUCAUUUUUAAGUUUAAGCAACUUUAAGGAUUUUGAAUCUGGCUGCCUGUAAAUUAAAGGUGAAAGUAAUCA
rnacentral:lncRNA from 1 species